GAGUUUGAUCAUGGCUCAGGAUGAACGCUAGCGACAGGCUUAACACAUGCAAGUCGAGGGGCAGCGGGGGAGUAGCAAUACUCCCGCCGGCGACCGGCGCACGGGUGAGUAACACGUAUGAAACCUGCCCGUAGCAGGGGGGGAUAAGCGGAAGAAAUUCCGUCUAAUACCGCGUAACAACCCUUGGAGGCAUCUCCUCGGGUUUAAAGGAAGCGAUUCCGGCUACGGAUGGUCAUGCGUCGCAUUAGCUGGUUGGCGGGGUAACGGCCCACCAAGGCGACGAUGCGUAGGGGUUCUGAGAGGAAGGUCCCCCACACUGGUACUGAGACACGGACCAGACUCCUACGGGAGGCAGCAGUGAGGAAUAUUGGUCAAUGGCCGCAGGGCUGAACCAGCCAAGUCGCGUGAGGGAUGACGGUCCUAUGGAUUGUAAACCUCUUUUGUCAGGGAGCAAAGGGCGCCACGUGUGGCGCUUUGCGAGUACCUGAAGAAAAAGCAUCGGCUAACUCCGUGCCAGCAGCCGCGGUAAUACGGAGGAUGCGAGCGUUAUCCGGAUUUAUUGGGUUUAAAGGGUGCGCAGGCGGAAUGUCAAGUCAGCGGUAAAAUUUCGGGGCUCAACCCCGUCGUGCCGUUGAAACUGGCGUUCUUGAGUGAGCGAGAAGUAUGCGGAAUGCGUGGUGUAGCGGUGAAAUGCAUAGAUAUCACGCAGAACUCCGAUUGCGAAGGCAGCAUACCGGCGCUCAACUGACGCUCAUGCACGAAAGCGUGGGUAUCGAACAGGAUUAGAUACCCUGGUAGUCCACGCAGUAAACGAUGAAUACUAACUGUCCGGGCAGAAUGAUGCCUGGGUGGUACAGCGAAAGCGUUAAGUAUUCCACCUGGGGAGUACGCCGGCAACGGUGAAACUCAAAGGAAUUGACGG
rnacentral:rRNA from 1 species